rnacentral:misc_RNA from 1 species
UCAAACUUGGUCAUUUAGAGGAAGUAAAAGUCGUAACAAGGUUUCCGUAGGUGAACCUGCGGAAGGAUCAUUAAUGUGAUGGAUGUGCUAGUCUUGACUUCUCAAUCCUCCUUUCAAUACUUAUUGCUAGGUGGGGGCUUAACAGCUCGAGAGGAAAGGAAACAAAAGCCCGUUUGGGUGUGCACUCCAAUACUAUCCAAUUUUCUUUUAACCUUGUGCAUUUUUGCCUACAGAGCAAACAAAGAGCAUCAAAAUGAUGCUUUUGAUUGUGUAUGUAGGACACUUUUGUUACAAUAUGUAAAGAAUGACUUUAUUAGCCUUAAAGGCAAAAUGUAAUACAACUUUCAACAAUGGAUCUCUUGGCUCUUGCAUCGAUGAAGAACGCAGC